rnacentral:rRNA from 1 species
CCUACGUGGGGCAGCAGUGAGGAAUAUUGGUCAAUGGGCGCGAGCCUGAACCAGCCAAGUAGCGUGAAGGAUGACUGCCCUACGGGUUGUAAACUUCUUUUAUAAAGGAAUAAAGUGAGGCACGUGUGCCUUUUUGUAUGUACUUUAUGAAUAAGGAUCGGCUAACUCCGUGCCAGCAGCCGCGGUAAUACGGCGGAUCCGAGCGUUAUCCGGUUUUAUUGGGUUUAAAGGGAGCGUAGAUGGGUUGUUAAGUCAGUUGUGAAAGUUUGCGGCUCAACCGUAAAAUUGCAAUUGAUACUGGCAGUCUUGAGUACAGUUGAGGUAGGCGGAAUUCGUGGUGUAGCGGUGAAAUGCUUAGAUAUCACGAAGAACUCCGAUUGCGAAGGCAGCUUACUAAACUGCCACUGACAUUGAUGCUCGAAAGUGUGGGUAUCAAACAGGAUUAGAUACCCUUGUAGUC